ACAGGCAGGCGGCUGGCAGAGGUUAAGGCCUGACUUCUGCUCCCGGUCGACCUGGGUUCAAAUCCGCCUGCCGACCUCUCGGGUGUUUGAGAGGUGGUGAAAUGGGAGGUGGCCCCCCAUCUUGUGGACGGUGUAGGACGUGAUAAAAUCAACUUGCGAGCUGUCCAGGAACUAGGUUGAGGCGCCGUUGAUCCGCUAGAUUUGGUUGGAUGCUGGUGGUGAGUUGCCAAACUCAAAGAGUACACGCUGAAGUCGGAUGGGGUGAAUGGCUUAGGGUGCCCCUCUAGCAGGGGAGAGCAGGGAAUUGCCUCGGGAAGGAGGCCACUGGUGAAGCUUAACCACCCUGUAACAACAUCAACAACCCCACGCUCGUCCGUCUUAACGAACAUCGCCGAAUCAGACUUCGAAGGAUAAAGACCCAGCUUGGCGAACUCUGCUGAUAGCUUUACAUACCAUGGCAGGCGGCUGGCAGAAGUUAAGGCCUGACUUCUGCUCCCAGUCGAUCCAGUCGACCCGGGUUCAAAUCCGCCUGCCAGCUCCUCGGGUAUUUGAGGAGUGAUGAAAUGGGAGGUGGCCCCCCAUCAUAUGGACGGUGUAGGACGUGAUAAUAUCAACUUGCGAGCUGACCAGGAACUAAGUUGAUGCGCCGUUGAUCCGCUAGAUUUGGUUGGAUGCUGGUGGUGAGUUGCCGAACCCAACGAAUACAUUCUGAAGUCGGAUGGGGUGACGGAUUAGGGUGCCCCUCUAGCAGGGGAGAGCAGGGACUGCCCCGGGAAAGGGGGCCGCUGGCGAAGUUAACCACCCUGUAAUAACAUACAUACCAGCAACGGGGUGCCUGCUUCAAACCGUAAAUAGACCUCUCCAGCUUGCACGCAAGCGACCGGUCACUGGAUGCAUACCCAGGCGGUUGCUCCAUCCACAACUCCUCCUUCAACUCGCCAUUCAAAAAUGCAGUAGACACAUCGAGCUGGUGCACCGUCAUGUUCCGCGCUGCGGCAACUGCUAGUAAAGCACGUAAUGACGAACACGUGAGGUAGGGGCAAACAACUCCAGGCCUGGCUUCUGCUCCCGACGUGUUCCGGCGCGUCCGGGUUCAAAUCCGCCUGCCGACCUCUCGGGGUGUUUGAGAGGUGAUGAAAUGGGAGGUGGCUCCCCAUCUUAUGGACGGUGUAGGACGUGAUAAAAUCAACUCGCGAGCUGACCAGGAACUAAGUUGACGCGCCGUUGAUCCGCUAGAUCUGGUUGGAUGCUGGUGGUGAGUUGCCAAACUCAAAGAGUACACGCUGAAGUCGGAUGGGGUGAAUGGCUUAGGGUGCCCCUCUAGCAGGGGAGAGCAGGGAAUUGCCUCGGGAAGGAGGCCACUGGUGAAGCUUAACCACCCUGUAACAACAUCAACAACCCCACGCUCGUCCGUCUUAACGAACAUCGCCGAAUCAGACUUCGAAGGAUAAAGACCCAGCUUGGCGAACUCUGCUGAUAGCUUUACAUACCAUGGCAGGCGGCUGGCAGAAGUUAAGGCCUGACUUCUGCUCCCAGUCGAUCCAGUCGACCCGGGUUCAAAUCCGCCUGCCAGCUCCUCGGGUAUUUGAGGAGUGAUGAAAUGGGAGGUGGCCCCCCAUCAUAUGGACGGUGUAGGACGUGAUAAUAUCAACUUGCGAGCUGACCAGGAACUAAGUUGAUGCGCCGUUGAUCCGCUAGAUUUGGUUGGAUGCUGGUGGUGAGUUGCCGAACCCAACGAAUACAUUCUGAAGUCGGAUGGGGUGACGGAUUAGGGUGCCCCUCUAGCAGGGGAGAGCAGGGACUGCCCCGGGAAAGGGGGCCGCUGGCGAAGUUAACCACCCUGUAAUAACAUACAUACCAGCAACGGGGUGCCUGCUUCAAACCGUAAAUAGACCUCUCCAGCUUGCACGCAAGCGACCGGUCACUGGAUGCAUACCCAGGCGGUUGCUCCAUCCACAACUCCUCCUUCAACUCGCCAUUCAAAAAUGCAGUAGACACAUCGAGCUGGUGCACCGUCAUGUUCCGCGCUGCGGCAACUGCUAGUAAAGCACGUAAUGACGAACACGUGAGGUAGGGGCAAACAACUCCAGGCCUGGCUUCUGCUCCCGACGUGUUCCGGCGCGUCCGGGUUCAAAUCCGCCUGCCGACCUCUCGGGGUGUUUGAGAGGUGAUGAAAUGGGAGGUGGCUCCCCAUCUUAUGGACGGUGUAGGACGUGAUAAAAUCAACUCGCGAGCUGACCAGGAACUAAGUUGACGCGCCGUUGAUCCGCUAGAUCUGGUUGGAUGCUGGUGGUGAGUUGCCAAACUCAAAGAGUACACGCUGAAGUCGGAUGGGGUGAAUGGCUUAGGGUGCCCCUCUAGCAGGGGAGAGCAGGGAAUUGCCUCGGGAAGGAGNNNNNNNNNNNNNNNNNNNNNNNNNNNNNNNNNNNNNNNNNNNNNNNNNNUUCAGACUUAUCUUGCUGUUUUUGUGUUUGUUCGGCGUUCAAGUCGUUGCCUUUUGCGUGUUUGUCUAUGGAAGGACCGGUCAUACAUUCUGCUAUGCCGCGUUGACUCACGGGCUUGACCUUCUUACGGCCCCUCAUAUCUAUUUUAUGAUCGAUAAUACUAAGUUCUGCACACUACGGAGCAAUCUGGCAGCAAUGGACGUUUUUGGCUGAAGGAAUGAAAAUGUACGGAUCGGCCUCACUUUGUUCCUUAUUUCCAAAGGCCAAAAAGGCCUCUUUAUUCCUUAAAAGUAAUAUAUUACUUAAAAAAAAAACACUGCCGUUGGGUCCUAUUACUGUGGCUACCAUUCACUGGUAUAUGAGUGUCGGUCAUUUCCAACACCCCCCCGUGAGCGACACUCCAUCGCUACGGGCCGUCCCGUGCCUCAUCCCGGUCUCCCAUUCUCUAGGCAACAGCCAGUGGGUAUCGAUCCGGCGACCUCUCGGCAGCGCAAUGCGCCAUUCGGGGCUCAUUUCUUAUUGACGAAUUGGCGACGGAGACAGCUAACGCUGAUUGUUAUUCCGGAAGGAUUGCCGGUGGCGAAGAUAUUUUGCACAAUAAAAUAUUACAAGUAAUGUAAAGAGUAUUAUUAGCGUUCGGCAGGACUUGAGGAGAUUCCUAUGAGGAAUACCGAUCGUAGUGAGAUAAACAAAUAAGCGCAGUCACCGCCCUAAAUACCGGCGCUAGCGGAAAACUCGUACAUUCCGCGAUCUAACUGCACGUACAUUCCGCGAUCUCACUGCGCCGUCCUGACGGUGCCCAAAUGUCUAUCACUUAGCUACAGUAUAUGCAUCGGUAGCCCAUAAGGUUCUGGGUUAAGUCUUCCCCAUUAGUCAGGCGCAGUCUCAGGGUCAAGACCCCUGGUUGACAACCAUACGAGUUGGGAGAGGACCGUUUCCUCAACAAAGGUCACGCACCUUGAAGACUUUCGCUAUUGCGGCUUUAAUUGCCCGGACCAUUUCCGGGUCUUCUGACGCAAUAAUGGUGUCAUCUACGUGCACCAAAGCAAUAACAGGCAGGCGGCUGGCAGAGGUUAAGGCCUGACUUCUGCUCCCGGUCGACCUGGGUUCAAAUCCGCCUGCCGACCUCUCGGGUGUUUGAGAGGUGGUGAAAUGGGAGGUGGCCCCCCAUCUUGUGGACGGUGUAGGACGUGAUAAAAUCAACUUGCGAGCUGUCCAGGAACUAGGUUGAGGCGCCGUUGAUCCGCUAGAUUUGGUUGGAUGCUGGUGGUGAGUUGCCAAACUCAAAGAGUACACGCUGAA
rnacentral:lncRNA from 1 species